UGUCUUGUGCAAAAUACCCUGAAAACACUAGAUCCCAUCUGAUCACAGAAGCUAAGUAGCAUCAGCCCUGGUUAGUACUUGGAAGGAAAACUACCUCCUGGCGUACGUGUAUAAGAUGU
rnacentral:rRNA from 11 species